rnacentral:piRNA from 1 species
UACUCAGCACUUAUGUAUAAA